GCUCCCGUAGUUUAAUGGAUAAAAUUUCAGAUUCCGGUUCUGACGUUAUGGGUUCGAAUCCCUUCGGGAGUA
rnacentral:tRNA from 1 species